ensembl:rRNA LOC120102552 5S ribosomal RNA
GGCUACGGCCAUACCACCCUGAACGCGCCCGAUCUUGUCUGAUCUCGGAAGCUAAGCAGGGUCGGUCCUGGUUAGUACUUGGAUGGGAGACCGCCUGGGAAUACUGGGUGCUGUAGGCU